UUCUUACUCUCUCACAUCUUUCUUAUUUCUUCUUCCAAUUUAUAAACUCUCCCCCAUGUUUUGUUCUUUCUCUCUCACAUGUUUCUUAUUUGUUCUUCCAGCUUCAUUAAUUCCUUCUUCUUCACAGGAUUUUAUUUGAGCUAGUUGAGUACAUAAAGAAUUGAUUGACGAUGGAAUUCUUUCAUAAUUCAGGUGUUGGAAAUUAAAGGAUUGCAAUCGUGAUAGAGUUCAAGGGUUGAAAGAUAGAAAUUGAAAAUUCUAAUAGUUAUGCCUACAUGAAAUGGAUUGAAAGAUUGUAGGGAUCUUAGUGUAAACAUAAUAUUUUGCCUCGUAAAGUGGUAAAACAUGUGGCUGAUCCAAAAUUCUAACACUGGGAUGUCUUAAUCAAGGUAUGCUAGGCCUAAUGCCUAGGUAGGGGCCUCUGCAAAAUAGACAAAUUUAAGUAAAAUUAUUAUAUAAUGUAAAUAAGUGUUUAUUUACACUUAAACUAUACUUAUAUUGGUAAUUUGAGUUUAUUAUUUUAAUUAAGUUUAUUAUUUAACAUAUAACGUACAAAAUACCAUAAUUUUUGCUUUAGUAUUUAGUAAAUUUGAUGGUAUGAGAUGAAAGGUCAAGUGACUGCGAGUUCGUAUGAAUUUAUAUUGAAUUUAAAAAAAAAUAAUAAUAACAGUGUCAAACAUAUGGUAUAUAAGAAUUGGUUGAGUAAUACACAUCCAUUUAUUAAUUAAUAUGCUAUGUGGCAUAACUUGAUUGGACAACAAUUAAGGAAAAAGAAAAAGAAAAAUGGGGAGUUGGUCAUGUGGGAAAUGGAGAGAGAAAGCCUUUCUUCUUCGUUGGAAAAGGUCCAAGAACAACAGAGUCAUGGUGGUCUUUUAUGUGUUCCUCCUCGUCUGAAAUUAGAUCUUUCUUUUUGAUUUAAAACUUUUGUUGCACAGCCUUCUCUCUUCCACCACAUGUCCGGGCCAUUGGGUGGUCCUUGGAGGUCCUCAUAGGUGAUUCUUCAAACUUCCUGAUGGUCUCGGGAGCACCGGGACCAUAAAAUGGAUCUGCCUCUGCAUACAUGAUUAGCACAUUAAACACCAACAUAGUUAAUCAACUACUUAAAAGUCCUAGAUUAACAACCUCGUAUUAGUUAAGAUUAAGAUUCUUUUUGCG